AAUGAACGUUGGCGGCGUGGAUUAGGCAUGCAAGUCGAGCGAGAACCUGCAAGGGGGACAGCGGCAAACGGGGUAGUAAUGUGUCGGAACGUGCCCUCUGGACGGGGAUAGCGGCGGGAAACUGCCGGUAAUACCCGAUGAACUCGAGCGAGCAAAGGUGUGAUUACGCCGGAGGAGCGGCCGACAUGGUAUUAGCUAGUUGGCGGGGUAACGGCCCACCAAGGCUGUGAUGCCUAGGGGAUGUGAGAGCAUGAUCCCCACCAUUGGGACUGAGACACUGCCCAGACACCUACGGGUGGCUGCAGUCGAGAAUCUUCGUCAAUGGGCGAAAGCCUGAACGAGCGACGCCGCGUGCGGGAUGAAGGCCCUUGGGUUGUAAACCGCUGUCGAGGGGGAUGAAGGCAUUCAGGUACUCCUGAAUGUUUGACAGAGCCCUGGAGGAAGCACGGGCUAAGUUCGUGCCAGCAGCCGCCGUAA
rnacentral:rRNA from 1 species